rnacentral:rRNA from 1 species
CAGCCGCCACGGUAAUACGAAGGGGGCUAGCGUUGUUCGGAAUUACUGGGCGUAAAGGGCGCGUAGGCGGCCAUUCAAGUUAGAUGUGAAAGCCCUGGGCUCAACCUAGGAAUUGCAUUUGAUACUGUUUGGCUUGAGUUCGGGAGAGGUGAGUGGAAUUCCCAGUGUAGAGGUGAAAUUCGUAGAUAUUGGGAAGAACACCAGUGGCGAAGGCGGCUCACUGGACCGACACUGACGCUGAGGCGCGAAAGCGUGGGGAGCAAACAGGAUUAGAUACCCGCGUAGUCCCUGUCUCUUAUAC